UCUAUCCAUUGUGUUAACCAGGGCUCCCAGACCUUAAGAUAAUGCUUUCUCUUCCCCAAUGGAUUUCCUCCAUUUCCCUCAAACCUUCCACUCUCUGUAUCCAUUGCGAUUCGCACCAGACAUCCCAAGAAUAUUGCUGAACUGAAACAGUUCUGUAAAGAGGAAUGGUCAAGAAUUACUCCUGACCGUUGUGCACGUCUGAUCUGCAACUACAGGAAACGUUUGGUUGAAGUUAUUGCUGCCAAAGGAGGUUCAACCAGUUAUUAAAUCCAAGGGUUCACAUACCUUUUCCACCUGCACUGUGAAUGUUUACAUGGUGUGUUCAAUAAAAACAUGGCAACA